GAUGAACGCUGGCGGCGUGCCUAACACAUGCAAGUCGAACGGAGAUUUAACGCUGAUGAGGCUUCGGCGGAAUCUUGUUAAAUCUUAGUGGCGGACGGGUGAGUAACGCGUGGGCAACCUGCCUCGUACUGGGGGAUAACAGUUGGAAACGACUGUUAAUACCGCAUAAGCGCACGGUGUCGCAUGACACAGUGUGAAAAACUCCGGUGGUACGAGAUGGGCCCGCGUCAGAUUAGCCAGUUGGUGGGGUAACGGCCUACCAAAGCAACGAUCUGUAGCCGGACUGAGAGGUCGGACGGCCACAUUGGGACUGAGACACGGCCCAAACUCCUACGGGAGGCAGCAGUGGGGGAUAUUGCACAAUGGGCGAAAGCCUGAUGCAGCGACGCCGCGUGAGUGAAGAAGUAUUUCGGUAUGUAAAGCUCUAUCAGCAGGGAAGAAAGACUCGUAAGAGAGAUGACGGUAC
rnacentral:rRNA from 1 species